GUGGGGAGGAAAAAACAACAAGCACCGCUCCAGUCAGCAAACAUCCAUGAGCGGUGGUGAUGCGAACACGGAUACGAGGCUCCAGCAGCACCGCAGUCCGCAGGAAACACGGAGGUAACGGGGAGUUGUCAAGAUACCACCGGGCACAACGGAAAACGCGUUCACUGGCGGGAAUUUACCGCUGAGGCGUCGAAUGGAUGAUGAGGAGGAGGACAUGUCACGGCCCAUCUCGCAGCCCCGGGGAACGUCCUUUGGGGACGUCAAAUUCGAAGACCGCGCCACACAGAUCGCAGCUGGACAGGCCCUCGCUGCCGUCACUGCCGCUGUGUCCACGUCGCAGAGCCACAACAACAACAGCAUCAACGCGCUGCCCUGCGGCUUACAUCGGCAGCCUCACAUACCCUUUCACGGCAACGCUGGGUUGCGCUCACAUUUUCCUGCUCAGUUUGAGCCCAUGGAGGACCGGGGAGAGAGGGAGGUUGAAGAGGAGGAGGAAGAGGGCAGAGGGGAAGACAAUGACAGAAUGGCGGAGAGGCCCGAGGAGCAGGUGGGGGUGAGCGUGGAGGCGCAGAUUGGUCGUAAACUUCGGGAGAUUGGAGACAAGUUUCACCAGGAUCACGUUGAACUGUUUGGCCAGUGAUAUCUGAACCACUGAAGGCUGUAGAACAUGCUGCCUGUCACAGUAUACCUGCCACUGAUACCAUGUCAUUACAGUUAAUGGGAGUAUUAGGUUAUGUUUCCUGGUCUACAAAGACAGACGAAGAAAAAAAAAAGACUAUGCCAUCAUCUGGGAGUGACACAGUUUCUGACCGAAUACCUUUGUCCCUUUGUCUCAGUCCUGUAAUUUA
ensembl:lncRNA